AUUGAACGCUGGCGGCAGGCCUAACACAUGCAAGUCGAACGAGUGUCGGACGGGUGAGCAAUGUCUGGGAAACUGCCUGAAGGAGGGGGAUACCUACUGGAAAAGGUAUAUACUCCCGCUUACCAUCAUAUAUGGCCAGAUUGGCUUAGCUAGUUGGUGGGGUAACGGCUCACAAAGGCGACGAUGCUUAGAUGGUCUGAGAGGAUGACCAGACCCACCAGGACGGAGAAACGGGCCAGACUCCUACGGGAGGCAGCAGUGGGGAAUAUGGCACAAUGGGCGCAAGCCUGACGCAGCAAUGCCGCGUGUAUGAAGAAGGUCUUCGGGUUGUAAAGUACUGUCAGCAGGGAGGCGUUACCCGCACAAAAAGCACCGGCUAACUCCGUGCCAGCAGCCGCGGUAAUUC
rnacentral:rRNA from 1 species